rnacentral:rRNA from 1 species
UACGUAGGGAGCAAGCGUUGUUCGGAUUUACUGGGCGUAAAGGGCGCGUAGGCGGCGCGACAAGUCAGUUGUGAAAUCUCCGGGCUUAACUCGGAAAGGUCAACUGAUACUGUGCGACUAGAGUGCGGAAGGGGCAACUGGAAUUCUCGGUGUAGCGGUGAAAUGCGUAGAUAUCGAGAGGAACACCUGCGGCGAAGGCGGGUUGCUGGGCCGACACUGACGCUGAGGCGCGAAAGCCAGGGGAGCGAACGGG